rnacentral:rRNA from 1 species
AACGAACGCUGGCGGCAUGCCUAACACGUGCAAGUCGAACGAGACCUUCGGGUCUAGUGGCGCACGGGUGCGUAACGCGUGGGAACCUGCCUUUAGGUUCGGAAUAACUCAGAGAAAUUUGAGCUAAUACCGGAUAAUGUCUUCGGACCAAAGAUUUAUCGCCUUUAGAUGGGCCCGCGUAAGAUUAGCUAGUUGGUGGGGUAAAGGCCUACCAAGGCGACGAUCUUUAGCUGGUCUGAGAGGAUGAUCAGCCACACUGGGACUGAGACACGGCCCAGACUCCUACGGGAGGCAGCAGUGGGGAAUAUUGGACAAUGGGCGAAAGCCUGAUCCAGCAAUGCCGCGUGAGUGAUGAAGGCCUUAGGGUUGUAAAGCUCUUUUACCCGAGAUGAUAAUGACAGUAUCGGGAGAAUAAGCUCCGGCUAACUCCGUGCCAGCAGCCGCGGUAAU